ACUAGACUUGCAUAUUGGUUUCCUUAAUGAUUAAUUGAGCAUAAAUCAUCAUAUCUGAGGUCCUGAAUUGUAUAUUUACUUAUUCUGUUGGAUUUCUUACACUUUUAGUACCUAAAAACCUGAAAUGAGAGCGCUCGGACAAUGUGAAGUUUGUCGCAUAGACGGGGAUUGACCGCCUUUGUACAUAUAUGUCUACAGCUUCUCAGAUUUGACCGAAGACAGUUGUUCGGUGUUGUGAAUGGAUGUUGUUCGGCCGAAGGCCUUCCAGUCACACAGAAGAUCCUGGUUCGGUCACACGAAGGGUCACUUCCAUUGGUAUUAGUCACAGGAAAAAUUAGGAGCACCAGUUGUAGUUUCUCAGGGCCUGUUUUGCCUGUUUGCGGCCAUCUAGAGAGUAUUCUUCAUACGCAUGUGAUUUGGUUCAAAAUGGUGGAAAAAAGAGCCGGUCAACCCAAUGUUUACUGUGGCUGGAAUUUUUUCUCUUGGAUAGUUCUGUUGAGUUCAGGUAUUUUUAUAGGGGUUGGAAUGCAUGCAAAAUUGCUAUAGUGUCCAGUGCCUAUAUAGAACAUAUAGUAAAAAUAACUGUGGUCUUAGGCC